UGACACCAAAUGUGGGAGUGUGUGUC
rnacentral:piRNA from 1 species